GAUGAACGCUGGCGGCGUGCCUAAUACAUGCAAGUCGAGCGAACAGACGAGGAUCUUGCUCCUCUGACGUUAGCGGCGGACGUGUGAGUCACAUGUGUAUAACCUCCCUAUCAGACUGGGAUAUCUUCGGGACACCGGCGCUAAUACGGGAUAAUAUAUUGAACCACGUGGUUCAAUAGUGAAAGUCGGCUUUUCGGUAUCUUCUCGAUGGAUCUCCGCCGCAUUAGCUAGUUGGUAAGGUAACGGCUUAUCACGGCGAGGAUGCGUAGCCGACCUGAGAGGGGGAUCGGCCACCUGAGAACUGAGACACGGACCAGAGUCCUGCGGGAGGCAGCAGAAGGCAAUCGUACGCAAUGGGCGAAAGUCUGACGGAGCAACGCGGCGUGAGUGAUGAAGGUGUUCGGAUCGGAAAACUCGGUUAUUAGGGAAGAACAAAUGUGUAAGUAACUAUGCACGUCUUGACGGUACCGAGUAAGAAAGCCACGGCUAACUACGUG
rnacentral:rRNA from 1 species